UACGUAGGGGGCGAGCGUUGUCCGGAGUUACUGGGCGUAAAGGGCAUGCAGGCGGUCGGACGCGUUUUUGUGUGACAGCGGGUGGCUUAACUACCCGAGCAUGCGAAAGACGGUUGGACUUGAGGGCUCGAGAGGGACACGGAAUUCCGGGUGGAGUGGUGAAAUGCGUAGAUAUCGGUAGGAACACCAGUGGCGAAGGCGGUCUCCUGGGGGCAUACUUGACGCUGAGACGCGAAAGCUGGGGGAGCGAACGGG
rnacentral:rRNA from 1 species